UACGGAGGGGGCGGGCGUUGUUCGGAAUUACUGGGCGUAAAGGGCGCGUAGGCGGCCGAUCAAGUUAGAUGUGAAAGUCCUGGGCUUAACCUGGGGACUGCAUUUGAUACUGAUUGGCUUGAAUUCGGGAGAGGAUAGCGGAAUUCCCAGUGUAGAGGUGAAAUUCGUAGAUAUUGGGAAGAACACCGGUGGCGAAGGCGGCUAUCUGGACCGACAUUGACGCUGAGGCGCGAAAGCGUGGGGAGCAAACAGG
rnacentral:rRNA from 1 species